GACGUAGGGCGCGAGCGUUGUCCGGAUUUAUUGGGCGUAAAGAGCUCGUAGGCGGCUUGUCGCGUCGUCCGUGAAAACCUGCGGCUCAACUGCAGGCUUGCGGUCGAUACGGGCAGGCUGGAGUUCGGUAGGGGAGACUGGAAUUCCUGGUGUAGCGGUGAAAUGCGUCAGAUAUCUGAGCAGGAACACCCGGUGGCGAAAGGCGGGUC
rnacentral:rRNA from 1 species